GUGUUCACUUUGGCAGCACAUAUACUAAAAUUGGAACGAUACAGCAAAGAUUAGCAUGGUCCCUGUACAAGGAUGACACACAAAUUCGUGAAGCAUUCCAUAUAUAU
rnacentral:snRNA from 1 species